UACGGAGGGUGCAAGCGUUAUCCGGAUUUACUGGGUUUAAAGGGUGCGUAGGCGGGCAGGUAAGUCAGUGGUGAAAUCUUCGAGCUUAACUCGGAAACUGCCUUUGAUACUAUCUGUCUUGAAUAUUGUGGAGGUAAGCGGAAUAUGUCAUGUAGCGGUGAAAUGCUUAGAUAUGACAUAGAACACCUAUUGCGAAGGCAGCUUACUACGCAUAUAUUGACGCUGAGGCACGAAAGCGUGGGGAUCAAACAGG
rnacentral:rRNA from 1 species